UAGAAACAGCAUCACAGGGCGGAAGAUUUCCUCUCUCCACUCAAUCUGUUUAUGAUCUUAAUUCAGACUACGCAAGAACCUCUCUUCCUGCUGAGUGUAGGGUCAUCGGUAUGCCACACCAAGGCUGCUGAAAGGAGACAAUAUAUGCCUUGAUGCCAGCUUGGUUGUUAGCCUGGUUCAACAACAACACACCAACAAGGAAGCAGUCGCCAAGUUUCACCGACGCAUCUUAAACCAGGAGGCCUAACUCCCAACUGGAAUUCACCGUCUCGGUGAAAGAAAUGUGCGGGUGAAACUCGGAUUUGGGCCGAAGAGCGAAGCUUCCCACGGCUGAAAGGCUGUAUCUAACUGAACAAUCUUCUCCGAUAACAGGCAGUCAAUUUAACUGGCUGAAGGAAUUGGAUUCCUUUUCCAUUGCCUCACAGUGGACUUUAGCACCAAGGGGGUAAAAAAAAACUCACCAGGCAACACCUCUUGACACCGAGAAACGUGGGCAAAGUUUAAAAAUAAACAUCACUGAUAUCUAUUUAAUCUCCAUAUGCCAGCCAACAAAAUAUCAGAUUUUAGCUGAAACUGGUUUCAAUGUCAGUUUCUACAAUUUCAUGACAACAAAGCUUUCUUUAAUAUGUUUGGGAAUCCACGGCGCUGAGGGAAACUGCCUGGCGUGCAGGACUGUGGAAUACACAACAACAGCACCUGCAGUACGGUGUAGAACGGUCACACAGGAUUCUGGCACGAUAUCUCAGACACUCGCAGCUGGACAGAGGGGAAGGGAGGAACAGGUCUUUAUGAGUCAGACUACAACUUGAUGCAAAGAUGUCAAGCCCACAUAACCACAUCGAAAAGCUCCCAUUAUUUGCUGCACUUUGAAAGGAUGUGUCAUAUCUCUGGUUGGUUUGGCAUUUAAAGAAAACGCAGCCUUCUCGCGCCUCCUGAUUGGCUAGUAAUGUUCACUGAGCGACUUCCGCAAUGAUCUGUACAGCUCUCGUGUUUCGGCUUCACCUUUGAAGCUUUGGUCAUGCAGUUACUACACCUCAACCCUCUCGGAUUCUCCUCCGUGAGAAAUCGCAGAAUGUCAACCAAUCUCCCAUCCAGCCCCUCACCUCCCCCCCCCCACCCCCGGCCGCCUCCCCUAUAACGGACUUGAGCUUUCUGACUGAUCCCGAGAUCUCCAUGGAGAGACACCUCUUGUACAACACUUCAUCUUCCAUUGCAAGGGGCUGGGGAAGGUGCUGGCAAAUGACGGCAAUAACUCAAAUUUAUCUGCAAGUAGUGUUCAAAAUUGUGUGUUAUACACACUUAGUGGCCACUUUUCCACCUUCUCUUCAGCUCCUACAGAUUUGACAUAUUGUGAGUUCGCAGCUCUUCUGCACACCACAGUUGUAACGCGUGGUUAUUUGAGUUACUGUCGCUUUCCUGUCAGCCUCAACCAGUCUGACCGUUCCCCGCUGACCUCACCCAUUCUGUUUUCACCCACAGACCUGCUGCUCACCGGAUGUGUUUUUCUUUUUUGAGAUCAGCAUUUUUGAGAUACUCAGUCCACCCCAUCUGGCACCAAUAAUCAUUCCAAUGGUCAAGGUCACCUAGAUCACAUUUCUUCCCCAUUCUAAUGUUUGGUCUGAACAACAACUGAACCUCUUGACCAUGUCUGCAUGCUUGCAUGCAUUGAGUUGCUGCCACAUGACUGGCUGUUUAGAUAAUUGAAUAAACGUAGAGGUGUACAGGUGUUCCUAAAAAUGUGGCAACUGAGUGUAUGUUCACAUAUGUGUUUAAAAUUAUCCACCAUUUACCUGACCACAAUGGGAUGUAUAUGGUGAAGUUAACAUCAGCCUCGGCUAUAGAAUAAAAGACUUGCUUAUUCACAGACACGGAACAGGAAGAGGUUUGCUAUGGCACUCUCUGCUACCAUCAGCCAGAUCAUAACAUCAAGCUUCUUCAAUAACUAGUGGCACUUGAGCAAAUGACAAGUUCUGAGGGAUGGGUGUGCAGAGGUGAGGUGUGUGGUUGCGAAGGGAUGGUGUUGGGGAGUUGGACAGGGGGUUGACCCACUCAUAUGGAGUUGUACUUUCAAAGAAGGCUUUCAGAAAGGAUCCCAGAGAGAACAGAGUGUUUACACAGAGAGCUAGUGUUCAUACACUAGGGAGCUGGGUUGGUGAAUGCUGUGGUCUACUUGGGAGCACGUAUUUAAAACCUAUCGCUGCCAGAGAUUGUGCCUUCUUAAACUGCACCAGGGCUGUAAGUACUUGUAAGUUGAGUUAACGUGUUAAGUAUGGAAGUAAAAGUUUACCAAGAACACAUGAUUAGAUUCAGAGAUGUAUUUUCUUGGAGGUUUAGCUAAAUGUACCCAUUCUUAAGAAGUUUUGAGUCCCAAUUUACACCAAAUUACAUUUUUAAAGUGAUUCAUACACUCAGUUGCCACUUUGUUAGGUGACACUGUGCUGAAUCAAGUGGCCCCUGAGUGUGCACCAACUGACAUUUUCAAAGCAAUUCAUAAAUUCAGAAAAACACACCAAGGUUAGACUUAGAGCUUAUGGGAAGGUCUGCACACCAUAGCAGACUGCAAAGCUAAACGCAAUGGAGUUUCCGACAUCGAUGCCUCUCUCCCAGACGAGCUAAAUCUUUUUUUACGCUCGAUUCGAUGUUACCAAUGCUGAGCCCCUGAGGAGACCUGCAGAUGAUGCGACCAGCAGCUUGGUCAUCUCUGAGGCCGAAGUAUGCAGGUGUUUCCAAUGGGUGGACGGUCUCAGGGCUGCGGGACAAGACAGUAUUCUGGGGCGAGUACUCAGGAUGUGCAUACAGAGCUGUGUUUACAGACAUUUUUAAUCUCUCCCUCUCCCAGUGUAGAAUGCCCUCCUGCUUCAAAUUAUCCACUAUUGUCCCUGUACCUUAGAAGUCUGAACGACUGGUGUCCUAUCACACUCACCUCAAUAAUAAGCAAAUGCUUUGAGAAGCCAGUCAAAGACUACAUCUGCAGCAUGCUACCACCCACACUGGACCCCCUACAAUUCACCUACCAACACAGCUGAUCAACAGAUGACUCAGUAACCACAGCUCUACACACCGUCCUUACUCAUCUGGAGAAGAGGGAUGCUUAUGUGAGAAUGCUGUUCUUGGACUACAGUUCAGCAUUCAACACCAUCAUUCCCUCCAGGCUCGACAAGAAGCUCAGAGAACUAGGCCUUCACCCUGCCUUGUGCAGCUGGAUCAUGGACUUCCUGUCAGAUCGCUGGCAGGUGGUAAGAGUGGGCUCCCUCACUUCUGCCCCUCUGACCCUCAACACAGGUGCCCCUCAGUGCUGUGUCCUAAGCCCCUCCUUUACUCUCUGUAUACCCAUGACGGUGUCACCACCCACAGCUUCAAUCUGCUAAUUAAAUUUGCUGAUGGCACUACACUGAUUGGCCUAAUCUCAAAAUAAUAAUGAGGCAGCCAACAGAGAGGAAGUCAUCACCCUGACACAGUGGCGUCAGGAAAACAACCUCUCCCUCAAUGUUACAAAAACAGAGGAGUUGGUUGUGGACUACAAGUGGAAUGGAGACAAGCUAACCCCUACUGACAUCAAUGGAUCUGGGGUUGAGAGGGUGAACAGCUUUAAGUUCCUCAGCCUAAACAUCACCGAGGAUCCCACGUGGUCUGUACAAACCGGCUGUGUGGUGAAAAAGCACAACAGCACCUCUUUCACCUCAGAUGGUUGAAGAGGUUUGGUAUGGGCCCCCAAAUUCUAAGAAUUUUCUAUAGGGGCACAAUUGAGAGCAUCCUGACUGGCUGCAUCACUGCCUGGUAUGGGAACUGUAAUUCCCUCAAUUGCAAGAUUCUGUAGAGAGUGGUGCGGACAGCCCAGCGCACCUGUAGAUGUGAACCUCCCACCAUUCAGGACAUUUACAAAGACAGGUGUGUAAAAAGGGCCCAAAGGAACAAGUCACCCCAACCACAAACUGUUCCAGCUGCUACCAUCCAGAAACGGUACCGCAGCAUAAAAGCCAGGACCAACAGGCUCCAGGACAGCUUCUUCCAACCAGGCCAUCAGACUGUUUAAUUCAUGCUGACACAACUGUAUUUCUAUGCUAUAUUGAUUAUCCUGUAGUACUGUAAUAUUUAUUAUACGUUACUAUGAUUACACAUUACACAUUUGAACUGAGAUAUAGCGUAAAGAUUUUUAACUCCUCUUGUAUUUGAAGGAGGUAAAUAAUAAAGUCAAUUCAAUUCAUAAGAAAACAUGCUUCCCCUUACACAGUUGACUUGAGAGGUACCAUCAAUGUAGAAAGCAUACAGGAUCCUAACCUGUGCCAAUGGCAGGGUGUGGGCACAGACCAAUCACAUGAACAAUAUCUAAUGUUUCAAUGUCUUAUAUUUCAGUUCUGUUGGGAAAGAUGUGCUCAGAACAUUCUUGAAGUACAACAUUGCCACCAGCUCCUCGAAAUUUCUGAUCCAAAGAUAGUCCGGGUGGGCAAGAGCAUUCGGGGCGGUACUGAGGGUGACAUGGGGGCUGUUGGCAGAACAUCCUGUUUCUCACUGGAUGGUACAGGAGGAUCUCUCACCAUGGACCUUGGUUUCCCUUCAGUGUUCUGCCAUUAUACACACUGUCAGCACAGAGAACAUGCACAUCUCAUGGAGCAAGGCUUGAAAGAAAAAUUGCUGGCCUGAGAGGCUGAAGUGCAGGAGGCCAGAACACAGCCACUUGUCUCCCACAAUCUUUUCCAAAGGCAUGUAUAUAAUUGUGAGAAUUGAGCAUUUUAAGGUCCUUUUAGCUUAGAGGUAAAUGCAACAAGCCACGCAUUUGGCUCAUUUCUGAUCUAUGCUGCUUUCAGAUAGGGAUGCUCACAAACUCCUACAGAUGUGCUGUGGAGAGCAUUCUAACUGGCUGCAUCACGCGCAUGUGUGUGUGUGGUGAUAUUGUACAGUAAUGAGGUAAGCUGCAGAGAUUUGCAGACUGGGCUCCAUCAUGGGCACUAGCCUUACUAGUAUACAGGACACCUUCAAGGAACGGUGCCUCAGAAAAGUGGAGACUAUCCUUAAGGACCCUCCUCCACCCAGGACAUGCCCUCUUCUCAUUGUUACCAUUGGGAAGGAGGUACAGAAGCCUGAAAGCACACACCAUCAAUUGAGACAGCUUCAUCCAAUUUCUGAAUGGACAUUGAACCUACGAGUGCUACCUCACUACAUUUUUAUUUCCUGUUUUCCACACUACUUAUUUAACUAUAUUAUAUAUAUGAGAGAGAGAAAGAG